UACGUAGGGGGCAAGCGUUAUCCGGAAUUACUGGGCGUAAAGGGUGCGUAGGCGGCGCCUUAAGUCAGAUGUGAAAUAUCCGGGCUCAACCUGGAGGGUGCAUCUGAUACUGGUAGUCUUGAGUGCAGGAGAGGACAGUGGAAUUCCUAGUGUAGCGGUGAAAUGCGUAGAUAUAGGAAGGAACACCAGUGGCGAAGGCGACCACCUGGACUGAUACUGACACUGAGGUGCGAAAGCGUGGGGAGCAAACAGG
rnacentral:rRNA from 1 species